rnacentral:rRNA from 1 species
CAGUCGUACCGGCGGGUAAUCAGCCUUCUGGGUGCGAUUAUGUGGAGCGUGAGGAGUUAAUCACCCUCAUCUUUGCAUAUUUGUGCACUUUGGGUGUACUUGCUCGUGUGGUAGGUUAACAUCAAUUUUGAUCGUCAUAAAAUGAUCGGGGGAAUGUAGCUUCGAUCUUGUAUUGAAGUGUUAUAGCCUUCGGUAGAUGUGAUGAUUGGGAUUGAGGAUUGCAACGGAUACCCUUCGGGGCUACCUGUCUGAUCUCUGAAAGUUGCUCUGGUGCCGAAAGCUCGCUUACGGUAUUAAAGUUGGCGGUCAAUAGGUUAGAACGUGAUUACA